GAUGAACGCUAGCGGCAGGCCUAACACAUGCAAGUCGAGGGGUAGAGUUAGCUUGCUAACUUGAGACCGGCGCACGGGUGCGUAACGCGUAUGCAAUCUACCUUGUAGAGGGGGAUAGCCCAGAGAAAUUUGGAUUAAUACCCCAUAGUAUAAUAGAGUGGCAUCAUUUUAUUAUUAAAGUUCCAACGCUACAAGAUGAGCAUGCGUCCCAUUAGUUAGUUGGUGUGGUAACGGCGCACCAAGACGAUGAUGGGUAGGGGUCCUGAGAGGGAGAUCCCCCACACUGGUACUGAGACACGGACCAGACUCCUACGGGAGGCAGCAGUGGGGAAUAUUGGACAAUGGGGGCAACCCUGAUCCAGCCAUGCCGCGU
rnacentral:rRNA from 1 species